AGAGACCGGCGCACGGGUGCGUAACGCGUAUGCAAUCUACCUUUUGCAGAGGGAUAGCCCAGAGAAAUUUGGAUUAAUACCUCAUAGUAUGCAGAGUUGGCAUCAACACUGCAUUAAAGUCACAACGGCAAAAGAUGAGCAUGCGUCCCAUUAGCUAGUUGGUAAGGUAACGGCUUACCAAGGCUACGAUGGGUAGGGGUCCUGAGAGGGAGAUCCCCCACACUGGUACUGAGACACGGACCAGACUCCUACGGGAGGCAGCAGUGAGGAAUAUUGGACAAUGGGCGCAAGCCUGAUCCAGCCAUGCCGCGUGCAGGAUGACGGUCCUAUGGAUUGUAAACUGCUUUUGCACAGGAAGAAACAACGCUACGUGUAGCGUCUUGACGGUACUGUGAGAAUAAGGAUCGGCUAACUCCGUGCCAGCAGCCGCGGUAAUACGGAGGAUCCAAGCGUUAUCCGGAAUCAUUGGGUUUAAAGGGUCCGUAGGCGGUUUAGUAAGUCAGUGGUGAAAGCCCAUCGCUCAACGGUGGAACGGCCAUUGAUACUGCUAGACUUGAAUUAUUAGGAAGUAACUAGAAUAUGUAGUGUAGCGGUGAAAUGCUUAGAGAUUACAUGGAAUACCAAUUGCGAAGGCAGGUUACUACUAAUGGAUUGACGCUGAUGGACGAAAGCGUGGGUAGCGAACAGGAUUAGAUACCCUGGUAGUCCACGCCGUAAACGAUGGAUACUAGCUGUUGGGAGCGAUCUCAGUGGCUAA
rnacentral:rRNA from 1 species